AUCCAACUGACGAGUCCCAACUAAGACAAAACACGCGUACAGGAU
rnacentral:hammerhead_ribozyme from 1 species